UACAGAGGGGGCGAGCGUUAUUCGGAAUUAUUGGGCGUAAAGGGCGCGUAGGCGGCCUGGCAAGUGACGGGUGAAAUCCCUCGGCUUAACCGAGGAACUGCCUGUCAGACUGUUAGGCUUGAGACCGGGAGAGGUGAGUGGAAUUCCCAGUGUAGCGGUGAAAUGCGUAGAUAUUGGGAGGAACACCAGUGGCGAAGGCGGCUCACUGGACCGGUACUGACGCUGAGGCGCGAAAGCUAGGGGAGCGAACAGG
rnacentral:rRNA from 1 species